UAUUGGACAAUGGGCGAAAGCCUGAUCCAGCCAUGCCGCGUGUGUGAAGAAGGCCUUCGGGUUGUAAAGCACUUUCAGCGAGGAAGAACGCCUAGUGGUUAAUACCCAUUAGGAAAGACAUCACUCGCAGAAGAAGCACCGGCUAACUCCGUGCCAGCAGCCGCGGUAAUACGGAGGGUGCAAGCGUUAAUCGGAAUUACUGGGCGUAAAGCGCGCGUAGGUGGCUUGAUAAGCCGGUUGUGAAAGCCCCGGGCUCAACCUGGGAACGGCAUCCGGAACUGUCAAGCUAGAGUGCAGGAGAGGAAGGUAGAAUUCCCGGUGUAGCGGUGAAAUGCGUAGAGAUCGGGAGGAAUACCAGUGGCGAAGGCGGCCUUCUGGACUACACGACACUGAGGUGCGAAA
rnacentral:rRNA from 1 species